AGGGUUGUGUUUGGUCUGCGCGAUGGAGAAGGAACCAGUCAAGCCAAGGACCAAGUCCUGUCUUAUCACAUGGGGGGUCAUCACGGUGCUCUGCGGGACAUUCAUCUUCGGGCAAAGCACCACCCUGGCCGUCAUGGAGCUGCUCUACCAAUUCUAGCCUCUAGGUGGCAGCAUUUGCAAAGGGAGUCCAGUGGUCGUGGGACAACCUAUAAGGCAAGGCUGUCUUCUACUGUUGGACACCUCCGAGCAACAUUCCUGGUUGACGUGGACAGGUACUUUUUCUCACCUGGGCAUAACUGAAAUAAGGGCUACCUUUCAGAUAUCUAUGUAAAUAAAUAAAAACACACUUGAGUUGGU